UACGGAGGGUGCAAGCGUUGUCCGGAAUCACUGGGCGUAAAGGGCGCGUAGGCGGCUCAUGAAGGCUGUGGUGAAAGUCCGGGGGCUCAACCUCGGAUCGGCCGUGGCGACUCGUGGGCUGGAGCACUGUAGAGGCGGGUGGAAUUCCGGGUGUAGCGGUGGAAUGCGCAGAUAUCAGGAGGAACACCAAUAGCGAAGGCAGCUCGCUGGGACGUUACUGACACUGAGGCGCGAAAGCGUGGGGAGCGAACAGG
rnacentral:rRNA from 1 species